rnacentral:rRNA from 1 species
UACGGAGGAGGCAAGCGUUAUCCGGAAUUAUUGGGCGUAAAGCGUCCGCAGGUGGCUAUUCAAGUCUGCGGUCAAAGACUGGGGCUUAACCCUGGAAAGGCCGUGGAAACUGAAGAGCUAGAGUGCAGUAGGGGUAGAGGGAAUUCCCGGUGUAGCGGUGAAAUGCGUAGAGCUCGGGAAGAACACCGAUGGCGAAGGCAGCCAUCUGGACCGGCACUGACGCUGAGGCGCGAAAGCGUGGGGAGCAAACAGG